rnacentral:rRNA from 1 species
GUGGGGAAUUUUGGACAAUGGGCGCAAGCCUGAUCCAGCAAUGCCGCGUGCAGGAAGAAGGCCUUCGGGUUGUAAACUGCUUUUGUACGGAACGAAACGGUCCGGGUUAAUACCCUGGGCUAAUGACGGUACCGUAAGAAUAAGCACCGGCUAACUACGUGCCAGCAGCCGCGGUAAUACGUAGGGUGCAAGCGUUAAUCGGAAUUACUGGGCGUAAAGCGUGCGCAGGCGGUUUUGUAAGACAGGCGUGAAAGCCCCGGGCUCAACCUGGGAAUUGCGCUUGUGACUGCAAGGCUGGAGUGCGGCAGAGGGGGAUGGAAUUCCGCGUGUAGCAGUGAAAUGCGUAGAUAUGCGGAGGAACACCGAUGGCGAAGGCAAUCCCCUGGGCCUGCACUGACGCUCAUGCACGAAAGCGUGGGGAGCAAACAGGAUUAGAUACCCCAGUAGUCC